rnacentral:lncRNA from 1 species
UUCAGAAUAAUAGCAGAUCAGGGCAGCUGAACUGAUAUCAGAUUUUGCCCUUUGGAUUUUCAGAUUUCUAAGCAUCUGGCUGUGGGAGGAGUUAUGACAUCUGUACACCUGCCAGACAGGGUCUAUUUUAUCUUCAAAAGAUAUUUUCGAAUGGAAAGAAGGAUUAAAAUUUUUGCCAAAUUUGGGACCAGGAAGAAAUUUCCACCGCAUUCCCAUGACUUGGAUUGUGGUGGAUCCUUUCACUUCCUCUGA